GUGGCUCAGUGGUAGAGUGCUUGCCUCGCAUGCAUGAGGCUCUGGGUUCAAUUUCUCAGC
rnacentral:tRNA from 1 species